AUUGAACGCUGGCGGAAUGCUUUACACAUGCAAGUCGAACGGCAGCACGGGGGUAACCCUGGUGGCGAGUGGUGAACGGGUGAGUAACACAUCGGAACGUGCCCAAUCGUGGGGGAUAACGUAGCGAAAGCUACGCUAAUACCGCAUACGAUCUACGGAUGAAAGCGGGGGAUCGCAAGACCUCGCUCGAAUGGAGCGGCCGAUGGCAGAUUAGGAAGUUGGUGGGGUAAAGGCUCACCAAGCCAACGAUCUGUAGCUGGUCUGAGAGGACGACCAGCCACACUGGGACUGAGACACGGCCCAGACUCCUACGGGAGGCAGCAGUGGGGAAUUUUGGACAAUGGGCGCAAGCCUGAUCCAGCCAUUCCGCGUGCAGGAUGAAGGCCUUCGGGUUGUAAACUGCUUCUGUACGGAACGAAACGGCCCUUUCUAAUACAGAGGGCUAAUGACGGUACCGUAAGAAUAAGCACCGGCUAACUACGUGCCAGCAGCCGCGGUAAUAC
rnacentral:rRNA from 1 species